UCUACAGCCAUACCACCCUGAAUGUGCCUGAUAUCAUCUGAUCUCGGAAGCUAAGCAGGGUCGGGCCUGGUUAGUACUUGGAUGGG
rnacentral:miRNA from 10 species